GUCUAUGGCCAUACCACCCCGAUUGCACCUUACCUCAUCUGAUCUCAGAAGCUAAGCAGGAUUGGGCCUGAUUAGUACUUAGAUGGAAAACUAAGCAAAGUGAUAGAAU
rnacentral:rRNA from 1 species